ensembl:snoRNA
CUGAGAAGCCAGUGAUGGUUUAAGUCAGAAUGUCUGAACCUGUUUGAAGCGUCUCGGUGAUGCAUAUUCUGUGUGCCUCUGAGGUUAGUCUCUGAGU